UCAAGCUACAAAGGGCGCAUGGUGGAUGCCUUGGCACCAGGAGCCGAAGAAGGACGUGGUAAGCUGCGAAAAGCUGCGGGUAGCCGCAAACAGGCUGUGAUCCGCAGAUGUCCGAAUGGGGGAACCCACCUAUUGAACAAUAGGUAUCCUUAACUGAAUCCAUAGGUUAAGGAGGGCACACCCGGGGAACUGAAACAUCUAAGUACCCGGAGGAAAAGAAAGAAUAAUCGAUUCCCUAAGUAGCGGCGAGCGAAAGGGGAAGAGCCCAAACCAGAGGAAACUCUGGGGUUGAGGACAGGUCAUAAAGGUUUAAAAUCUCUAGCCGAAGAGGCCUGGAAAGGCCGGCCACAGAAGGUAAAAGCCCUGUAGGCGAAAGAGAAUUUAAGCUGGACCUGAUCCAGAGUACCACGGGACACGUGAAACCCUGUGGGAAGCAGGGAGGACCACCUCCCAAGGCUAAAUACUACCUGGUGACCGAUAGCGUAUAGUACCGUGAGGGAAAGGUGAAAAGAACCCCGGGAGGGGAGUGAAAGAGAACCUGAAACCGUGUGCCUACAAGCAGUCGGAGGGCGUUAAGGCCUGACGGCGUGCUUUUUGUAGAACGAGCCAGCGAGUUACGGUAUGUAGCGAGGUUAAGCACUUAAGGUGUGAAGCCGUAGGGAAACCGAGUCUGAAUAGGGCGAUAAGUUGCAUGCCGUAGACCCGAAACCGGGUGACCUAUCCAUGGACAGGGUGAAGGUGAGGUAAAACUCACUGGAGGCCCGAACCACGUUGGUGUUGAAAAACCAUGGGAUGAGCUGUGGAUAGCGGAGAAAUUCCAAUCGAACUCGGAGAUAGCUGGUUCUCCCCGAAAUAGCUUUAGGGCUAGCCUCGGGUUAGAGACGUGGAGGUAGAGCACUGAAUGGGCUAGGGGCCGUCUAGGUUACCGAACCUUAUCAAACUCCGAAUGCCAUGAUCUUGAUGCCCGGGAGUCAGACUACGAGUGAUAAGAUCCGUGGUCAAAAGGGAAACAGCCCAGACCAUCAGCUAAGGUCCCAAAGUGUAUGUUAAGUGGAAAAGGAUGUGGGAUUUCCAAGACAACCAGGAUGUUGGCUUAGAAGCAGCCAUUCAUUUAAAGAGUGCGUAAUAGCUCACUGGUCGAGAGGUCCUGCGCCGAAGAUGUCCGGGGCUCAAACAUACCACCGAAGCUAUGGAUUUUGGAGGUUGGAUGUUGGAGGUUAGAAGUUAGAGUGUAUAGAAGAUAAAGAUAAAAAGAGAGAACAAAGCGUGCUAACGCACGAAGUGCUCUAACAUCUAGGUUGGAAAAAGAAAUAUUUAAUUAAGGUAUUUAAGUAAGCAUAAAGAUAUAAUUCCAACAUCUAACAUCUAACAUCCAACCUCUAAGAGUGGUAGGGGAGCUUUCUUAGCGGGUAGAAGUCAGACCGGAAGGACUGGUGGACUGCUAAGAAGUGAGAAUGCUGGCAUAAGUAGCGAGAAAUAGGUGAGAAUCCUAUUCGCCGAAAACCUAAGGUUUCCUCAGGAAGGCUCGUCCGCUGAGGGUUAGUCGGGACCUAAGCCGAGGCCGAAAGGCGUAGGUGAUGGACAAUCGGUUGAUAUUCCGAUACCACCAGUAGCCGUUUGAGAGAUGGGGUGACGCAGGAGGAUAGGCUGAGCACACUGAUGGAUAUGUGUGUCCAAAGCACGAGGUAUGCCUCUUAGGCAAAUCCGGGAGGAUAAGCUGAGUGCUGACGGGGAGUCGUAAGACGAAGCAGCUGAUUUCACACUGCCGAGAAAAGCCUCUAUCGAGGAUGCUGGUGCCCGUACCGCAAACCGACACAGGUAGGUGAGGAGAGAAUCCUAAGGCGAGCGGGAGAACCCUUGUUAAGGAACUCGGCAAAUUGACCCCGUAACUUCGGGAGAAGGGGUGCCUACCGAAAGGUAGGCCGCAGAGAAUAGGCCCAGGCGACUGUUUAGCAAAAACACAGGUCUCUGCUAAGUCGAAAGACGAUGUAUAGGGGCUGACGCCUGCCCGGUGCUGGAAGGUUAAGGGGAAAGGUUAGCGCAAGCGAAGCUUUGAACCGAAGCCCCAGUAAACGGCGGCCGUAACUAUAACGGUCCUAAGGUAGCGAAAUUCCUUGUCGGGUAAGUUCCGACCCGCACGAAUGGCGUAACGACCUGGGCGCUGUCUCAACAAGGGACCCGGCGAAAUUGUAGUACAAGUGAAGAUGCUUGUUACCCGCGAUUGGACGGAAAGACCCCGUAGAGCUUUACUGCAGCUUAGCAUUGAGUUUCGGUAUUGUCUGUACAGGAUAGGUGGGAGGCAGAGAAGUAGCGUCGCCAGGCGCUAUGGAGCCGACGUUGGGAUACCACCCUGAUGAUACUGAAGCUCUAACCGGAGGCCAUGAAUCUGGUCACGGGACAUUGUUAGGCGGGCAGUUUGACUGGGGCGGUCGCCUCCUAAAGAGUAACGGAGGCGCCCAAAGGUUCCCUCAGUGCGGUUGGAAAUCGCGCGUAGAGUGCAAAGGCAGAAGGGAGCCUAACUGUGAGACUGACAAGUCGAGCAGUGACGAAAGUCGGGCUUAGUGAUCCGGUGGUACCGAGUGGAAGGGCCAUCGCUCAACGGAUAAAAGCUACCUCGGGGAUAACAGGCUGAUCUCCCCCAAGAGUCCACAUCGACGGGGAGGUUUGGCACCUCGAUGUCGGCUCGUCGCAUCCUGGGGCUGAAGUAGGUCCCAAGGGUUGGGCUGUUCGCCCAUUAAAGCGGCACGCGAGCUGGGUUCAGAACGUCGUGAGACAGUUCGGUCCCUAUCCGUCGCGGGCGUAGGAAAUUUGAGAGGAGCUGUCCUUAGUACGAGAGGACCGGGAUGGACGAACCUCUGGUGCACCAGUUGUCACGCCAGUGGCACAGCUGGGUAGCCAUGUUCGGAAGGGAUAAGCGCUGAAGGCAUCUAAGCGCGAAGCCCACCUCAAGAUGAGAUUUCCCAUAGCGUAAGCUAGUAAGACCCCUGGAAGAACACCAGGUUGAUAGGCCAGAGGUGUAAGCGUCGUGAGGCGUUUAGCUGACUGGUACUAAUAGGUCGAGGGCUUGAUCA
rnacentral:rRNA from 1 species